rnacentral:sRNA from 1 species
ACGCAAGAAAGGAGGUGGUCCGAGAAAUGGUUGACUCUAGGACUGGCGAGGUGGCCGUCCGCUAGGGCGACGCAACGCGUUCGCGCGACGUCGUUCGCCGCGAAUCCCAGACGGACACCCGGACCCCGGGCUGCCGGACCUCGUCCGACCGGCCCCGCCCCCUCGGCGGGAGACGGCCCGGGGUCCGUCCGCA